rnacentral:rRNA from 1 species
AUUGAACGCUGGCGGCAUGCUUUACACAUGCAAGUCGAACGGUAACAGGCCGCAAGGUGCUGACGAGUGGCGAACGGGUGAGUAAUGCAUCGGAACGUGCCCAGUCGGGGGGGAUAACGCAGCGAAAGCUGCGCUAAUACCGCAUACGAUCUCGGGAUGAAAGCGGGGGACCGAAAGGCCUCGCGCGAUUGGAGCGGCCGAUGUCGGAUUAGGUAGUUGGUGGGGUAAAGGCCCACCAAGCCAACGAUCUGUAGCUGGUCUGAGAGGACGACCAGCCACACUGGGACUGAGACACGGCCCAGACUCCUACGGGAGGCAGCAGUGGGGAAUUUUGGACAAUGGGCGCAAGCCUGAUCCAGCAAUGCCGCGUGCAGGAAGAAGGCCUUCGGGUUGUAAACUGCUUUUGUACGGAACGAAACGGUCCGGGUUAAUACCCUGGGCUAAUGACGGUACCGUAAGAAUAAGCACCGGCUAACUACGUGCCAGCCGCCGCCGUAACAC